UUACUAAUGUAUGGGUAAGUGUUAAGUCCUUGAUGUUCUUACCUUUUGGACAAACCACUUACUUUUUCAUGGUUCUAUCUGAACUGGUUACUGUUUAUAUCUAUGCUUUGUGUCUAUCUAACAGUCUCAGUUUCUUACAGAUUGUCAGUAGCCUUCUGCCACAGUGCCGUUCUUCGUAUCCUCCCCACAGCUGAGGGUUUGAGCCUCCAAGGCGCUGAGCCUUUCACAGCAGCACUGUGUCAACCCUUCUGGAUCCCUGACCCUCAGUCUGCCCACCGUGAGUGCCUCCUGUCAUGCUUCCUCAGUUGCAUCUGUGUGGAACAAAACACCUGACCUGUGACACUGUUGACCCAGAAACUUGCCCAACAUUCUGUUCAGGUGGGCAAGGUUGAAUGUUCCAUGAUGCCUCUACAGGGAGUGCCUGGCUCACAUUUACCUUGCUUUGGAGAAGCAGGAAUGAUGUUGUGAAAUUUGCUACCGCCGGUAGAGCCCCAUGAGCCUACUGACACAACCAUUGCCAGAACUGCAUUACCUAUGUAUCCACAUAUUCAGUUUGGGUAUUUGGAGUAUUGAUGAUCAAAUUAAUCAAAUAAUUUUCAGUAUGGCCCACAGUCAUUACACACUUUACUGUGUGUGUCAGCGUAAACAUUUGUGUGUACCACAAACAGUAUGGCACCAUACAAGUAUGUUAACCAUUUGUGUGCAUUUCAUAGAGCAUGUACAACUGUAGAGGUUAAAGCUUUCAAUGCUUCAGAAAUUGCUUCUUUUGAACCCUUAUGUAAAGCACUACCCUGCAUUUUCCAUGUUUUUCCUUUUCCAUGUAUUAUUCCUACACAUAAGGCUGCCGUGACAUUGAAAAAUAAGGGAACACCCUGUAGAACAAGCACAAACUGAAGCAAUGCAUUCCAAAAAAUGUGUGUGUCACUGAUAGCCUUAUAUCAAAAGCUGCAAAAAGCUGACAGUACAACAGUACUCAACAUCCCUUCUUUGUAUAGUUGACAGUGCAUGAAUGUAACUUCAGAGUGACACUUCUUUCUAAGUGAAAAAAGGACUCGUUAUCAAUCCACACAUGCUGAUUCACUUACUCAACUGCCAAAAGCUGAAGCCAAAAGGGACGUUACUGGUUAAGCUAGAGUUGGAGA